AUAUUAUCGUCGGUCUCUUCGCGAUUUCAGCUGCUGAGAAAGACGUGUGCAGACGAAGAAGGGAAUUUGCACACGAAUUCUUGGUGCAGAAAACAUAUAAAACCUGUGAAUCAUAUUUUUUCACAACAAAGAAGCUUUUACAUUUCAAACGAACGACUGAAAUUUUCUUCUUGUGAAAUUUGAUUUUGAGAUAAAUUCAUCAACAUGCCUGACACCAAGUGUAUCUGUUGCCAGGAGAAAAAGGAGUGUUCGUGCAUCGGCUCCUGCUGUGAAACAGGAGAAUGCUGCAAAAAUGGAACAUGCUGCGGAAAUUCUUCUACAAAGAAAUGAAGGAUGUGCUUGCACCAUGGGAAACUGUAGGCCUGGAAGGACCUUAGCUUUUGUAAUUUAAGAUUGUAGAUACAGCUCAAGUUUAUAAUGUCCCGUCUGCUGCUCUACUUGGAUUUGAUCUGUAUAUUUUUUUAAAGAUGUCUGAUAGCUUUUUUUGUAACAUGUAUAUUUAUAUACUUUGUAAAAAUAUGUGAAAAUAAUUUUUGUCUAUAGGGUGUUUUAGCAAUUAAAAACGCGUAUCUGCAUGACUUACGCGUGCAGUAUCAAAGCGUAAGGACACCGCACACCUUACGAUGGCUGUAUGUCCCGAUUUGGAAACAAACGGCAUUUUGGACAUUUUCUAGUAAUAUAAACAUAUCAAAUAUUUUUUUGAGGCUCUGGAUAACUAUCAGAAUAAAUAUAUCAACAUUUUUGCAUGACUAAAGCUAGCAAAUCGUUCGGUUUUACAUGUAAGUAUUCAUUUGAUGAUCCAGAGUUAAAGAAACUAAUUUGUUUUGAUUCAAUAUUCCAUCGACUCGUUUUGUUCGGAUCUUAUAGACCAAUCGUAAGGUGUGUGGUGGCCUUUACAGAAUGCUCCCAAAAGUUCCUUAAUACCUUGUGCAAUAUCAUGCCUUAUUCCCGGGCCUUAUUGCUCGAUCGGUAUAAUGUAUAAUGACUAUUAACGAUGAUAUUGAAGUAAACCAAUUACUGAAAUAUCUGAACCAUCCGACGUAGGCCUUAUGUUUUAUCUCUGAUGAAAUGCGAGACUCGGAGGCGUGUUCUCGAAAGAUACUUAAAAAUACUUGAAAUAAAAUAACGCUUAAAUGGAUUACUUUACGAUGCGUUAAUAUGUAUUUUUUCUGUUUAAUUCCAUCAUGAUUGUGAUGAUAUUGAUACCUUCUUACAUUCUUAAAUGUUUAUUGUACGAAUUUAUAAAAUUUAUAAAAUCUGGGCCAUGUAAAAGAUUCGGUAUGAUUAAAUUGUAGGAUUAAAUCUAAA